rnacentral:rRNA from 1 species
GAUGAACGCUGGCGGCGUGCCUAACACAUGCAAGUCGAACGGAGUUCUUAAGGAAUGCGACUUCGGUCAAAUGACUUUUGAACUUAGUGGCGGACGGGUGAGUAACGCGUGAGCAACCUGCCUUUCAGAGGGGGAUAACGUUCUGAAAAGAACGCUAAUACCGCAUAUAAUCAAGAAACCGCAUGAUUUUUUGAUGAAAGGAGCAAUCCGCUGAGAGAUGGACUCGCGUCUGAUUAGCUAGAUGGUGGGGUAACGGCCUACCAUGGCGACGAUCAGUAGCCGGACUGAGAGGUUGAACGGCCACAUUGGGACUGAGACACGGCCCAGACUCCUACGGGAGGCAGCAGUGGGGGAUAUUGCGCAAUGGGGGAAACCCUGACGCAGCAAUGCCGCGUGAAGGAAGAAGGUUUUCGGAUUGUAAACUUCUUUUGUUAAGGACGAAGAAUGACGGUACUUAACGAAUAAGCUCCGGCUAACUAUGUG